UACAGAGGGGGCAAGCGUUGUUCGGAAUUACUGGGCGUAAAGAGCGUGUAGGCGGUCCGGUAAGUCCGCUGUGAAAGUCGGGGGCUCAACCCUCGAAUGCCGGUGGAUACUGUCGGGCUAGAGUGCGGAAGAGGCGAGUGGAAUUCCUGGUGUAGCGGUGAAAUGCGCAGAUAUCAGGAGGAACACCUAUUGCGAAGGCAGCUCGCUGGGACGUAACUGACGCUGAGACGCGAAAGCGUGGGGAGCAAACAGG
rnacentral:rRNA from 1 species